GNGAANCAUACUGGUGUGAAUUGCAGAAUCCCGUGAACCAUCGAGUCUUUGAACGCANGUUGCGCCCGAAGCCUUUAGGCCAAGGGCACGUCUGCCUGGGCGUCACGCAUCGUGUCGCCCCCAAUCCUUGCUUAAAGCA
rnacentral:rRNA from 1 species